GGGUGUCAUAAGUUUCCAAAUUAGAACUUGAACCAAUGAGAAAGGAAAAAGGAACUCACAUAGAGGUGGAUUGAAGAGUGGAGGCCAUGAAAGCUCUAUGAGAUUUGGGACAACAAAAUUAAGGAGGGUUAUGGGAUGGAGGGAUGAAGGCAAUGUUGAGCUUGAGAGCCAUUGCAAUGGUUGUCAUUUUGGUUGUGCUUUAUCUUUGUGAGAACAACCAACUCCACAAAGACUCAGAGUGAAAAAGAUAAAGAAAGAUAAGAAUGAGCAUCUCCACAUUAGAGAAGAG
rnacentral:lncRNA from 1 species